UGUUUAACAAAGAGAAGCAAAGCCGCGAGGUAGAGCAAAUCUCAAAAAAACAUCUCAGUUCAGACUGCAGGCUGCAACUCGCCUGCACGAAGUCGGAAUUGCUAGUAAUCGUAGGUCAGCAUACUACGGUGAAUACGUUCCCGGGCCUUGUACACACCGCCCGUCAAACCAUGAGAGUUGGCAACACCCGAAGUCGGUAGUCUAACCGCAAGGAGGACGCCGCCGAAGGUGGGGUUGAUGAUUGGGGUUAAGUCGUAACAAGGUAAC
rnacentral:rRNA from 1 species